rnacentral:tRNA from 1 species
UUAAAAAGCUUCUAACUUUUACGCAGAGCACUAAUUUGUUCAUAUUUCUU